AAAACACAAUUUUUUGUAUGUUUCUUACAUUAAAAAGGUUGUAAGUUGAAAGUUCAUGAAGAGAUCUUGUUGUAUUAAAUUAUUUUCACAAACUUGCCUUAAUAAAAGGUGAAAAUGUUACUGUUUAGUAUACUUUAUGAAGCCCCUUGAGCUUUAUAAAUGGACAGGCAUGGGGAAUAAGAAUCAGUGUUAAUUUAAAUGAUCUUAUCCUGGUGGAUGUGCUAUUUUCUUAAAGGAGUAUGAAGCCCUUUUCAAACUAUCAUCCCAGUGGAGCGGAGUACUCAGUGAACAGUCACUCCAUAGUGCAAUCCAUAUUAAUAGCCUUCUUAUCUUAAGUCUUCAUCUCUUCUUUUGCUUAAUUACUGAACCAUAAAUUACUUCAGAGAAAUUUAAAUGCUGGUAUUUGAACUUUAUACAUGAUACUUUUUGUAGUUUCUUUUAAUUUUUGAAAGAUGAACUGCUUCCUUUUAAUAAAUUAAUAUCUAUUUAUACUUUUCUCUUGAUUUGGGUCAAGAUGUUUGAUCAUGAGUGCUUUGAGUGGUAUGUGGAAUAGGAGAAUAUAAAAACAAAUCUGCCAAAUACACUAGAAAGCAUUUUAGUAAGAAAUGCUGGCCCUUUCUUAAAACAUUUCUCUUGCAUAUACCAGGAUGGGAGUAAAAGAUGCCUUAAUAUUUAGUUUUUGUAUUGUUGGAGACAUUGAUUUUAAUAAAAUCCUAUUUAUCUGCUGUUGUGUGCUUUUAGUUGUUGGAUAACUGAGGUCUCCUAAAUGGUUCAACAUAAAACCACAUUUCAAGUCUUGUUUCUUUUUGGAGUGUCUUUUCAAGUAUUCAAAUGUAUUUCUCAACCUGAGCAUCUUUUUAAUCAUAUACAUGGGAGUCUUUUAAAUGCUGAACUGUUACACAUGCUUGAUUUAAAAAUAAUAAUAAUAGAGGAAACUAUUGGUCUAGUUGUGCCAAGAAAAGUUUCUGAUGUUUAUGUGUGAUGUACAGUGAUUUUGUAUAUGCGCCCAGCUUUAAGAACACAUAAAACUAUUACGUCUGGUAGGAAGAUUGUUAGUGCCUCAAGUUACACCUGUGCAGCUUGGGUCUGAGUUUUGAUAGAACAGUAAACAUUUAAAGAAGUUAAGAGCAGUUUGAGCUGUAUCCGCGGUUUUUACUCGUUAACUGACUUCAGCUAAAUAGUUUGAAUUAUAGAGUAAGUAUAAUUACAGCAAAGGAGUUAAUCUCAUUUUCAAAGCUGUUUCUCAUUUUAUUUCUUGAAUUAAUGUAGAGCAAAACAUGUUAAAAUUCAGGACCACUGGAAUAUGGCAACUUAUGUUUCAGGGUUGUGGGUGGGUAGUAUUUGUGGUUGUAUUGGUUUGUUUUUUGUUUUUGGAGAAACAUCUGCUAGUGGAAUAAAAUACUUUGUUUUGCUCUGAAGAGACUGAAAUUGUUCAGGCUUAUUAUGGCUCAUAGAUUACAGAGAAUGAUGCUAGUUACAUGCCAAUGAACUAUUUUUACUCUUUUUAUAUGAAAUGUACAAAUUUGUAGGGGUUCUGGUGACGGUGGUACCUCUUAUUACCUUAUGUAAAACACUUGAACAGCCUCAUCAAUAUUGCCGUCAUCUGUUUAACACUCCCAGUAUAUUUUCUCAAUGUCUGUUUACUUAAAAUUUUGUGGAGUGACAUAAUUAAUAAGCAAUAAAGUCUGAAUUAUAC
rnacentral:lncRNA from 1 species